AGCGAACGCUGGCGGUAGGCCUAACACAUGCAAGUCGAACGGCAGCACAGUAAGAGUUUGCUCUUAUGGGUGGCGAGUGGCGGACGGGUGAGGAAUAUAUCGGAAUCUACUUUUUCGUGGGGGAUAACGUAGGGAAAGUUACGCUCAUACCGCAUACGAUCUACGGGUGAAAGCAGGGGAUCUUCGGACCUUGCGCGAUUGAAUGAGCCGAUGUGGGAUUAGCUAGUUGGCGGGGUAAAGGCCCACCAGGGCGGCGAUCCGUAGCUGGUGUGAGAGGAUGAUCAGCCGCACUGGAGGUGGAACACGCACCAGACUACUGCGGGAGGGAGCAGUGGGGAAUGGUGGACAGUGGGCGCAAGCCUGAUCCAGCCGGACCACGUGGGUGGAAGAGACCUUCGGUUUGUAAAGCCCGUUUGUUGGGAGAGAAAAGCAGCAGGUUGAUACCCCGCUGUUCUGACGGUACCCGAUGAAUAAGCACCGGCUAACUUCGUG
rnacentral:rRNA from 1 species